rnacentral:Y_RNA from 1 species
GGGUGGUCUAAUGGUAGUGGGUUCUCAGAACUUAUUAACAUUAGUGUCAUUAAAGUUGGUAUUCCACCCUCCAUUGCUAAAUUUGACUGGCUAAAA